rnacentral:rRNA from 1 species
GCAUAUCAAUAAGCGGAGGAAAAGAAACCAACAGGGAUUGCCCUAGUAACGGCGAGUGAAGCGGCAACAGCUCAAAUUUGAAAUCUGGCUCUUUCAGGGUCCGAGUUGUAAUUUGCAGAGGGCGCUUUGGCGUUGGCAGCGGUCCAAGUUCUUUGGAACAGGACGUCACAGAGGGUGAGAAUCCCGUACGUGGUCGCUAGCCUUCGCCGUGUAAAGCCCCUUCGACGAGUCGAGUUGUUUGGGAAUGCAGCUCUAAAUGGGAGGUAAAUUUCUUCUAAAGCUAAAUACUGGCCAGAGACCGAUAGCGCACAAGUAGAGUGAUCGAAAGAUGAAAAGCACUUUGGAAAGAGAGUCAAAUAGCACGUGAAAUUGUUGAAAGGGAAGCGCUUGCAGCCAGACUUGCCUGUAGUUGCUUAUCCGGACUUUUGUCCGGUGCACUCUUCUGCGGGCAGGCCAGCAUCAGUCUAGGCGGUUGGAUAAAGGUCUCUGUCAUGUACCUCUCUUCGGGGAGGCCUUAUAGGGGAGACGACAUGCAACCAGCCUGGACUGAGGUCCGCGCAUCUGCUAGGAUGCUGGCGUAAUGGCUGUAAGCGGCCCGUCUUGAAACACGGACCAAGGAGUCUAACAUCUAUGCGAGUGUUUGGGUGUCAAGCCCAGACGCGUAAUGAAAGUGAACGGAGGUGGGAACCCUUUGGGUGCACCAUCGACCGAUCCUGAUGUCUUCGGAUGGAUUUGAGUAAGAGCAUGGCUGUUGGGACCCGAAAGAUGGUGAACUAUGCUUGAAUAGGGUGAAGCCAGAGGAAACUCUGGUGGAGGCUCGCAGCGGUUCUGACGUGCAAAUCGAUCGUCAAAUUUGGGCAUAGGGGCGAAAGACUAAUCGAACUAUCUAGUAGCUGGUUCCUGCGA